AUGUCCCCUUGUUCCUUCGUCGAGCCCGCGUCCCUUCUGACUUUCUUCGCUCGUCGGGGACGCGACGCACACUGCAUCUUCGCCAUCCUUCUCACGUCGGGGACACACACGGCGUCGUCACCAUCCUCCUCGCGUCGGGGAAGGUGCCGCCGCCGCCGCUCCUCCGCGCGACCUGAGAUGCUGAGGCUGCCGUUCUCCUCCGCACAGCCAGGGACGACGCAAGCACCGACGCCCCCAUCCCCAGCUGCAUCAGUUCAGAGGUACGCCCCUUUCCUCGCUCGUCCUUGCUUGUUCCUUGCCGACGGCGCCCACCGGCGCACAGCAACCGAUUGGUCGCAACCCACAGAUCCACGCAGCUGCCAGCCAGUGACUCAGCCCAGGAGGAAAGCAGCAACUCCUCUCGGCCUCUCCAAAAUCCCGAGUCCCUGCCAGUAUUUGAUUUGCCAGUUGCUGCGAGUGUUCAUAUGUCUUGAUAAAAUUGCCCUUUUUCAUGGAGAAUAUUUGCAACUGAUUGAAAUAGAUGCAGGAUUCUUCUACUCAAACAUUAAGCGAGAAAAGAUGGUUUCUGCCGAAGGACGCCAAGUUGACGAACAUGUCAAGAAGAUCAUUGAAUUGAAAUAUAAGGUUCUGCAAAUUUCAUUCACAGAUCAGGAAAUUCUAAUCUGUGACUUGGUAAAUCUUAGUAUAUGCAAGCUGAUGGUUGUUCACAAUGAACAACCACAUCUCAAAGAUCACGAAGAUAAAUUGAUAAUGCAUGGCUCACAUGUUGAUUGCAAGGUUACCAACGCAUGCAUAUAUGUUGUUGUAGACCAUUGCAACGCCACCAACGGCAACGCAUACUGA
rnacentral:rRNA from 1 species